ensembl:lncRNA
GCUCAAUGCCUGUUUACCAGGUUGCCAUGUGGGCACAUAUGCAUAAAAAUGGGUGCUUGGGAAACAGUAGAGAAAGUGAUACUUAGGAUUGCACAACAUUAAGUAACCAUGAACAUAAGGUGGCACAAAGUCUGGGGCUUUGAUGUGUUGGUUCAGGCCCACCAUAAGCGAUAGAUGGCCACACAAACACUGGAGUGUUACUUAAUUCUUUGUAAAGGAGAUACCAUCACAUCUCGUUGACCAUCAGAAUGCAUCUAUAGCAAGAUACUAUAACACGAGUGUCUCAUACCAUCCCUUCCUGCAUUUUUGGAAAUCAGAUCUUCAAUUCUAGGAUGAAAAACAUGUUAAAACCUUGAAAUAUUGAAUAAGCACAAAACCGUUACAGUCUACAGUGCAAAAACACGGAUGUUAAUGAGAUACAAUAGAUCAAGAAAGAAAGACUUUGUAGAAGCUGUGCUCCACCAUCAAAGAAUGCGUAUUGUCAUCAUUAAAAUGUCAUAUACUUCAAACCUAACAGUAAAGCUUCUUACCAUGAAUACGUUCAUCUUUUGUUAUGGGAUGACUUGUUGAAGUGGAUGAAGUUAUCAUUCUGGCUAGAAGAAACAGCUGUCUUUCAUUUUGCACAUAGAAUAUAUCUAUAGAGAGAACAAUGAGACUGUUUUACUUGACCAUUCAAUUUGGCCUGGAAACAGUGCCGAAGUCCUCUGUGUAUCUAUGAAAUGGUUAUCUCAACCUCUGGAAAGAUUUUUUUUUGUGAGAAUGAUAUGAAGUUUUCCCACUUAAUAUUUUUUCAGGGUUACGGAGUUUUCCAAGUAAAGAAGUUAAAUGAAUUGGAUGCAAAACAUACAAGUGCAUUUUGCCUGGUAUCUAUAGCCUGUUGUCUGAAAGAUCCUAUGUGUUUGACAUAAUAGACAAUGAACUUCCUUCUGCUUCCAGUUACACUCAUAUACGUCUGGAGUAACACCUUCGGAAUCUGAGAUGAGUUCUGCCUCAAUCUCUCUCUUUUUAGAUGCUGGACAAAGGCCAGUAUUUUACUUUGAAUAACUGCCUCUAAUGUUGGGAUUCUAUUCAUAAGUAACCCAUGAGAGGUGCAUUAAAAAACAGAGCUCUAAAUUUAGGGUAACAGUGGCCAUUUAAAGUCUAUGCUACAUAAAUCUAAAGACUAACCCAUACAUUUCAGGAAAUAUAUUUCUGUGUCCCAUGCCUGCAGCUGAAGAGCAGACAUGCCCACACAGGCUUUGCAGCUUGCAGACAGGCUGGAAUGAGAGGCUGUUGCAUGUUCACGAGAGGCAGGAUCCCUCUGCUAUUCCCUUUUCACGUGUUUUCUGCUUAUCUGGUUUUAAUAUUUCCUUAAAAAAAUUAAGAACUACAUCCCAGCCCCAUUUUCAUAAGCAUUUGGAGCUUCAGAAGGCCUUGCAAGCUGUUGUAGUGAUUGCGUGUUACAUCAUUCAUUCAUCCUCUUGAGAAAUGACACUGCCGCAGUUUUUCACUCAUCUCUUUGGUUAAGUGCUUUUGUAAUUUGUAUUAAACUGUAAACCAACUUCAUAAAAUAACCCAGUUUAAAAUGAAGCAAAAAAAGUGUUUUGGAGUUAUCAUUUUCCUAUCAAAUUAUUUCACGUUCUGUAACAAAUGUAGUUAAAUUAUUAUAAGAUCUUUGCUUUGCAACUAAUUAUUUGAAAAACAUCAGUGAUGUAGAAAUACGUAAGUCUAAAAUUGUGCCAUACAAAACUGACUACACAGGGACUGAACAAAAUGGCUUGUACUGAGAUGGAAACAUCCUUCCAGUCUUUCAUAUGAAGUUGUAGAGUGUAUAAAUAUGCUCAGUUUCUCUCCAUAAUCUUUUUCUUUUUUUUUUGAGAAAUUCACAUCAGCAACAUUUUCUGACUGCAUGAGUUUUGAAUUAUUUUAUAUUUUGUUAGGAAUACUUCCUGUCUUUACUUGCAUACUAAGUCUUAAAUGUAUUUUCUCGCAUUUGAGAGACAAGUGUAUAGUAACUGCAUCUCUGCCUACUUAACAACUCGUGUAAUGUGUUUCUCAUUUCAACAAUUCCCACCACUCAGCUCACAGUUUCAUUAAUUUUUCAGGUGAAGUUUUGCUGAUAUAUGGUUAAGAGAUUGAAAACAUUUAAAUCCAUUAAACUCUCUUUCUCUGCUAC